rnacentral:rRNA from 1 species
CGUGUAGGCGGCUUAUUAAGUUGGAUGUGAAAGCUCCCGGCUCAACUGGGAGAGGACGUUCAAGACUGGUAGGCUAGAGGGCGACAGAGGGAGGUGGAAUUCCCGGUGUAGUGGUGAAAUGCGUAGAUAUCGGGAGGAACACCAGUGGCGAAGGCGGCCUCCUGGGUCGCACCUGACGCUCAGACGCGAAAGCUAGGGGAGCGAACGG